rnacentral:tRNA from 1 species
GGAGGGUGUAGCUCAGUGGUAGAGCACGUGUUUAGCAUGCACGAGGUCCUGGGUUCAAUCCCCAGCAUCUCCA